rnacentral:rRNA from 1 species
GUCUAUGGCCAUGCUACCCUGAACAAGCCUGAUCCCAUCUGAUCUCAGAAGGUAAGCAGGGUUGGGCCUGGUUAGUACUUGGAUAGGAGACCACUUAGGAAGACCAGGUGCUGUAGGCG